GGUUAAGCGACUAAGCGUACACGGUGGAUGCCCUGGCAGUCAGAGGCGAUGAAGGACGUGCUAAUCUGCGAAAAGCGUCGGUAAGGUGAUAUGAACCGUUACAGCCGGCGAUGUCCGAAUGGGGAAACCCAGUGCAAUUCGUUGCACUAUCGUUAACUGAAUACAUAGGUUAACGAGGCGAACCGGGGGAACUGAAACAUCUAAGUACCCCGAGGAAAAGAAAUCAACCGAGAUUCCCCCAGUAGCGGCGAGCGAACGGGGAGCAGCCCGGAGUCUGAAUCAGCUUGUGUGUUAGUGGAAGCGUCUGGAAAGUCGCAGGGUACAGGGUGAUACUCCCGUACACUAAAACACACAGGCUGUGAACUCGAAGAGUAGGGCGGGACACGUGGUAUCCUGUCUGAAUAUGGGGGGACCAUCCUCCAAGGCUAAAUACUCCUGACUGACCGAUAGUGAACCAGUACCGUGAGGGAAAGGCGAAAAGAACCCCGGCGAGGGGAGUGAAAAAGAACCUGAAACCGUGUACGUACAAGCAGUAGGAGCCCACUAGUUGGGUGACUGCGUACCUUUUGUAUAAUGGGUCAGCGACUUAUAUUCUGUAGCAAGGUUAACCGAAUAGGGGAGCCGCAGGGAAACCGAGUCUUAACUGGGCGUUAAGUUGCAGGGUAUAGACCCGAAACCCGGUGAUCUAGCCAUGGGCAGGUUGAAGGUUGGGUAACACUAACUGGAGGACCGAACCGACUAAUGUUGAAAAAUUAGCGGAUGACUUGUGGCUGGGGGUGAAAGGCCAAUCAAACCGGGAGAUAGCUGGUUCUCCCCGAAAGCUAUUUAGGUAGCGCCUCGUGAACUCAUCUUCGGGGGUAGAGCACUGUUUCGGCUAGGGGGUCAUCCCGACUUACCAACCCGAUGCAAACUACGAAUACCGAAGAAUGUUAUCACGGGAGACACACGGCGGGUGCUAACGUCCGUCGUGAAGAGGGAAACAACCCAGACCGCCAGCUAAGGUCCCAAAGUCAUGGUUAAGUGGGAAACGAUGUGGGAAGGCCCAGACAGCCAGGAUGUUGGCUUAGAAGCAGCCAUCAUUUAAAGAAAGCGUAAUAGCUCACUGGUCGAGUCGGCCUGCGCGGAAGAUGUAACGGGGCUAAACCAUGCACCGAAGCUGCGGCAGCGACACUAUGUGUUGUUGGGUAGGGGAGCGUUCUGUAAGCCGUUGAAGGUGGCCUGUGAGGGUUGCUGGAGGUAUCAGAAGUGCGAAUGCUGACAUAAGUAACGAUAAUGCGGGUGAAAAACCCGCACGCCGGAAGACCAAGGGUUCCUGUCCAACGUUAAUCGGGGCAGGGUGAGUCGACCCCUAAGGCGAGGCCGAAAGGCGUAGUCGAUGGGAAACAGGUUAAUAUUCCUGUACUUGGUGUUACUGCGAAGGGGGGACGGAGAAGGCUAUGUUGGCCGGGCGACGGUUGUCCCGGUUUAAGCAUGUAGGCGGAUGUUCCAGGUAAAUCCGGAACGUUAUUAACGCUGAGGUGUGAUGACGAGGCACUACGGUGCUGAAGUGACAAAUGCCCUGCUUCCAGGAAAAGCCUCUAAGCAUCAGGUAACAUCAAAUCGUACCCCAAACCGACACAGGUGGUCAGGUAGAGAAUACCAAGGCGCUUGAGAGAACUCGGGUGAAGGAACUAGGCAAAAUGGUGCCGUAACUUCGGGAGAAGGCACGCUGAUGGUAGGUGAAGUGACUUGCUCACGGAGCUGAAAUCAGUCGAAGAUACCAGCUGGCUGCAACUGUUUAUUAAAAACACAGCACUGUGCAAACACGAAAGUGGACGUAUACGGUGUGACGCCUGCCCGGUGCCGGAAGGUUAAUUGAUGGGGUUAUCCUCACGGAGAAGCUCUUGAUCGAAGCCCCGGUAAACGGCGGCCGUAACUAUAACGGUCCUAAGGUAGCGAAAUUCCUUGUCGGGUAAGUUCCGACCUGCACGAAUGGCGUAAUGAUGGCCAGGCUGUCUCCACCCGAGACUCAGUGAAAUUGAACUCGCUGUGAAGAUGCAGUGUACCCGCGGCAAGACGGAAAGACCCCGUGAACCUUUACUAUAGCUUGACACUGAACACUGGUCCUUGAUGUGUAGGAUAGGUGGGAGGCUUUGAAGUGUGGACGCCAGUCUGCAUGGAGCCGUCCUUGAAAUACCACCCUUUAAUGGCUGGUGUUCUAACGUGGGCCCGUGAUCCGGGUUGCGGACAGUGUCUGGUGGGUAGUUUGACUGGGGCGGUCUCCUCCUAAAGAGUAACGGAGGAGCACGAAGGUCAGCUAAUCCUGGUCGGACAUCAGGAGGUUAGUGCAAUGGCAUAAGCUGGCUUGACUGCGAGCGUGACGGCGCGAGCAGGUGCGAAAGCAGGUCAUAGUGAUCCGGUGGUUCUGAAUGGAAGGGCCAUCGCUCAACGGAUAAAAGGUACUCCGGGGAUAACAGGCUGAUACCGCCCAAGAGUUCAUAUCGACGGCGGUGUUUGGCACCUCGAUGUCGGCUCAUCACAUCCUGGGGCUGAAGUAGGUCCCAAGGGUAUGGCUGUUCGCCAUUUAAAGUGGUACGCGAGCUGGGUUUAGAACGUCGUGAGACAGUUCGGUCCCUAUCUGCCGUGGGCGCUGGAGAAUUGAGGGGGGCUGCUCCUAGUACGAGAGGACCGGAGUGGACGCAUCACUGGUGUUCGGGUUGUCAUGCCAAUGGCAUUGCCCGGUAGCUAAAUGCGGAAGAGAUAAGUGCUGAAAGCAUCUAAGCACGAAACUUGCCCCGAGAUGAGUUCUCCCUGACCCUUUAAGGGUCCUGAAGGAACGUUGAAGACGACGACGUUGAUAGGCCGGGUGUGUAAGCGCAGCGAUGCGUUGAGCUAACCGGUACUAAUGAACCGUGAGGCUUAACCUU
rnacentral:rRNA from 1 species